UCUCAACGUGUCUCCAUCUCUCUUUUCUCUUGCCCAGCCCUCCAUCCCCAUCCCUUCUCCGGGUGAGGCCCAUGGACCGAUCUGUGGGACGGAUCAAGUGGCGCCCAGCAUGGGACAGACCUGGCACAAGGGAUAACGACGCAGGACACAUGGGGGUAAAGCGCCAGCCAGCGUGACUGUUUCGGGACUUCGUUCCUGUGAUCCGUGCAGACAGCCACCUUACGUCUCACCUGAAUCAGGAUGAGAAAAAGCAAUGUUUUGUUCUACGUGAUUCCCAAAUGCUCGUCCUCAGAGAUCACUGGUCCAUGGAAAAAUGUUCACCAAGUGAGAAAGUUCAAUGCAGUGUUUACGAGGACUUAAAACUUGGACUUUUCAGAAGUAAAGAUGAAAAUAUGUACUAAUCAAAACCCAAAGCCAUUCCUUUCUUCAUCCCCUUGAGAUUGAAAGAUAGUAGUUACAUCUUUUUAUCUUGUAAAACUCCAUGGAUUCAUCCCU